GCCGGCCCAGAAGCCCCGGAGUCCUGCCGCCCACCCCUGGGCAGGGUCGGCGCCUUCUCCCCGGCCUCUCCGGGAGCGGCGCCCACAGGGACAAAAGAGCAGAGCAGGUUACUUCCACCUGAAGUUCCCCCAGGCAUCCCGGCUGGCCCCGAGAGACAGCCAAGCCAUCCCAGCCAGGAGAGGCUCUAAGAGGACGGUGAGGCACCUUCUCACUCAGUCUCAGCAGUGGGUGCUCUGGCUGAACUAGUUCUCACAGGAUGAGUUUGAAAAGCCAGAGGAAUCGCAAUCCGGUUGCUGAGAAGAAUAAGACCACAAGGACAAACUAAAAGGCCCUGCCUCUGCUUUUUCCCUGCUGCAGGAACUUAAAGCAUUUCUGCAAACGGAGACCACAGACCAUGCUUUUUAGCUACCAGAUUGACAAAGAUGAAGUCACUUGAUCCAGGUGUCAGUGACCUGGUGACUAUGGAGAGCAAAGAUGACAGUGCAAAUGGCCACGGCCUCCUUGGAACACAGCGUGACAUCCACUUGCAAAGCAGAACAUUCACACCUCUGCCACCCACAGUUCCACUGCAGGGCAGGUAUCCCUAGCAGCUAUUCUUGUUCAAGUGUAGACAAGUUGUGGUAUACCCAGACAGUUCAGCUGUGAAGGCACUCCAGAGAGACUAGCAGUCAAUGAGACAGAAGGCAGAACAACAAUAAAGAGAUGUCAACACAAAUAAAAGCGAGUUCUUUGAAAAGAUCAAUAAACUUGAUUAAUAAAAUGGAGACUUUA